rnacentral:rRNA from 1 species
UACAGAGGGUGGGAGCGUUAAUCGGAAUUACUGGGCGUAAAGGGCGCGUAGGCGGUCCUUCAAGUCAGGCGUGAAAGCCCCGGGCUCAACCUGGGAACCGCGCUUGAGACUGGCGGACUCGAGUUCGGGAGAGGAUGGUGGAAUUCCCAGUGUAGAGGUGAAAUUCGUAGAUAUUGGGAAGAACACCGAUGGCGAAGGCGGCCCACUGGAUCGGUACUGACGCUGAGGUGCGAAAGCGUGGGGAGCAAACAGG